UGGGGAAUAUUGCACAAUGGGGGGAACCCUGAUGCAGCGACGCCGCGUGAGUGAAGAAGUAUUUCGGUAUGUAAAGCUCUAUCAGCAGGGAAGAAAAUGACGGUACCUGACUAAGAAGCCCCGGCUAACUACGUGCCAGCAGCCGCGGUAAUACGUAGGGGGCAAGCGUUAUCCGGAUUUACUGGGUGUAAAGGGAGCGUAGACGGCAGAGCAAGUCUGAAGUGAAAGCCCACGGCCCAACUGCGGGACUGCUUUGGAAACUGCCCGGUUAGAGUGCUGGAGAGGUAAGCGGAAUUCCUAGUGUAGCGGUGAAAUGCGUAGAUAUUAGGAGGAACACCAGUGGCGAAGGCGGCUUACUGGACAGUAACUGACGUUGAGGCUCGAAAGCGUGGGGAGCAAACAGG
rnacentral:rRNA from 1 species